rnacentral:rRNA from 1 species
UACGUAGGGUGCGAGCGUUAAUCGGAUUUACUGGGCGUAAAGGGCGCGCAGGCGGCUAUCCAAGUCAGGCGUGAAAGCCCCGGGCUUAACCUGGGAGGUGCGUCUGGGACUGGGUGGCUAGAGUUCGGGAGAGGAGAGUGGAAUUCCCAGUGUAGAGGUGAAAUUCGUAGAUAUUGGGAAGAACACCGGUGGCGAAGGCGGCUCUCUGGACCGAGACUGACGCUGAGGCGCGAAAGCGUGGGGAGCGAACAGG